rnacentral:rRNA from 1 species
UACGUAGGUGGCAAGCGGUGUCCGGAUUUACUGGGCGUAAAGGGCGUGCAGGCGGUUUGUUAAGUCUAGGGUGAAAGCUCCCGGCUCAACUGGGAGAGGUCCUUGGAUACUGGCAGACUUGAGGAGGGUAGAGGAGAGUGGAAUUCCCAGUGUAGCGGUGAAAUGCGUAGAUAUGACACAGAACACCGAUUGCGUAGGCAGCUCACUAAACUGUAACUGACGCUGAGGCACGAAAGCGUGGGGAGCAAACAGG